UACAGAGACUGCAAGCGUUAUUCGGAUUCACUGGGCGUAAAGUGUGCGCAGGCGGCCGCGCAAGUCGAGUGUGAAAAGCCCCCGGGCUUAACUUGGGAAUUGCGCUCGAAACUACGUGGCUGGAGUGUGGCAGAGGAAGGUGGAAUUCCACGUGUAGCGGUGAAAUGCGUAGAGAUGUGGAGGAACACCAAUGGCGAAGGCAGCCUUCUGGGCCAACACUGACGCUCAUGCACGAAAGCGUGGGGAGCAAACAGG
rnacentral:rRNA from 1 species